UACAGAGGGUGCGAGCGUUUAAUCGGAAUUACUGGGGCGUAAAAGCGUGCGCAGACGGUCACGUAAGUCGGGGCGUGAAAGCCCCCGGGGCUCAACCUGGGAAUUGCAUUCGAGACUGCGUGGCUAGGGUGCGGAAGAGGGAAGCGGAAUUUCUGGUGUAGCGGUGAAAUGCGUAGAUAUCAGAAGGAACAUCAGUGGCGAAAGCGGCUUCCUGGUCCAGUACCGACGUUCAGGCACGAAAGCGUGGGGAGCAAACAGG
rnacentral:rRNA from 1 species